UGUCCCCAGUUGGAUUUGGGUCCUGUCACCUCUUGUGGUCACAGUGGUGGCUUUUGUCCCCAGGAGGUGACAUCAUUCCUGUAGAUCCCCAAGGGGUUUUUGGGUGGUUUUGAUGGGGAUUUUUUGGGAUAAUUUGGAGUUUUUGGGGUCUCUGGUGACCCCAACCCUGCCCCCUGGUCCUGUCACCCCUUGGGGUCACAGUGGUGGCUUUUGUCCCCAGGAGGUGACAUCAACCCUGGGACAUUUUGAGCUGUUUCUGUUCGUUUUUAGGGAUCUUUGGAUGGGGUUUUUUGGGAUCAUUUGGGAAUUUUUGGGGAAUAUUCCCAUCCCAAUUCCCUGGAAUUCCCUGCAGGAUUCCUGGUGCUGCACAUGGACGAGGAGCAGGGACAGCAGGUGGACCUGGAUGAGCUCAUCUCUGCCCUGAAGCUGCUCCUCAAGGAUCCCGUUCCGGCCGUGCGGAUCAAGGUGGCCGAGACCCUGGGACGCCUCGUCCGCCUCCUCUGAAUCCCAGAAUUCCCAGGAAUUCCCAAUUCUGAGACCCUGGGACGCCUCGUCCGCCUCCUCUGAAUCCCAGAAUUCUCAGAAUUCCUGGGAAUUCCCAGCUCUGAGACCCAGGGACGCCUCCUCUGAAUUCCUGGAAUUCCUGAGAAUUCCUGGAUUUGCUCAGCAAUACCCCAGGUUAUCCCAAUCCAUGGGAAAAGUCUUCCUGCACCUUCUUCCUGGACACAGGGGCAAAAAAAGUAGGAAAAGGGCCGGAAUUUGGGAUGGGAUCCGAUCCUGCCCCUCCGGCUGCUUCCCAAAGGAUCCGGGAUCCAUUCCCAAAAUUCCUCCCCUGUACAGAGACCUGUUUUUAAAUAAAGCUUUUGCCUCCUGGAA